CUUCGCCGCUUCGAAGAUGGUAGUGUGUCACAGAAAGCCACGGUACAGAAGUGGUCUACCAGUAUUUGACGUGAGAGGUCCAAGGUUCCCCACUAGAACAGUAGGACUGGUUCUCCUUUGUAUGAGGGAUUGUCCUAUUAAAAAGGUCUGACAUUCCAGCUAGAUCUAUACCUGAUAAUGAGAGGAAACACAAGGAACUAUUUCCUGAGGAACAAGUUUAAACUAGUGAAUUGAAGGUUUAAAACUACCAAGAUGUAAUGAGAGAUGUGAAGUAAUGAACAAAAGAAGUAACAUGAAGUUAGACAAUACAACUUGAGGUGUCAAAAUUGUGCAAUUGUUAUUUGCAGAUAUAUAGAUGGAUUUUUUAAAAAUGUGAACUGUAACACUGGGAUCAAAAUUUGCUAUUUUUUUUUUGUAGAAAAGAUGCAGUUGUGUUCCAUUAAUUUAUUUCUCAAAUUUAAGAAUUAAAUUUUCAUAUCUA